GCCCGUACGCCAUGUAAGCUCAUGCUGAUUCUAUGGGUGGUGGUGCAUGGCCGUUCUUAGUUGGUGGAGCGAUUUGUCUGGUUAUUCCGUUAACGAACGAGACCUCAGCCUGCUAACUAGCUACGCGGAGGAUACCCUCCGCGGCCAGCUUCUUAGAGGGACUAUGGCCGUUUAGGCCACUGAAUUUGCUCCGCGGACUAAGACGGCCUCCCCCCCCCCCCUUUGAACCGGAAGAGCUUCGCACCGU
rnacentral:rRNA from 1 species